GACGAACGCUGGCGGCGUGCUUAACACAUGCAAGUCGAACGGACAGGCCCUGCUUUUGUGGGGUGCUCGAGUGGCGAACGGGUGAGUAACACGUGAGUAACCUGCCCUUGACUUUGGGAUAACUUCAGGAAACUGGGGCUCAUACCGGAUAGGAUCUCCUGCUGCAUGGUGGGGGUUGGAAAGUUUCGGCGGUUGGGGCUGGAUUCGCGGCUUAUCCGCUUGUUGGUGGAGUAGUGGCUUACCAAGGCUUUGAAGGAUAGCCGGCCUGAGAGGGUGACCGGCCACAUUGGGACUAAGAGACGGCCCAGACUCCUACGGGAGGCAGCAGUGGGGAAUAUUGCACAAUGGGCGGAAGCCUGAUGCAGCAACGCCGCGUGCGGGAUGACGGCCUUCGGGUUGUAAACCGCUUUCGCCUGUGACGAAGCGUGAGUGACGGUAAUGGGUAAAGAAGCACCGGCUAACUACGUG
rnacentral:rRNA from 1 species